GCUCUUCCGAUCUCUCACAUAGAGCCUUCGGGAAGGGCCAUGGAGACAGGGUCUACUCUCAUAAUUUGCAUCUCCAGAUAGCCCAUUGCCUGCUUCUGGUUGACUCACAUGGACAUUGAAUGGGGCCUCAAGUUUAAGGUUGUGAGACUUAAAGGUAGAGGCUGGAGAAAUGUGUGUGCCUGUUUUCUUUGUUCUGGAGCUACACAGGGUCUUGAUCUUGGUCUGUCUCUCUGUCUCUCUGUCUCUCUGUCUCUCUCUCUCUCUCUCUCUCUCUCUCUCUCUCUCUCU